rnacentral:rRNA from 1 species
CCUACGGGUGGCAGCAGUGAGGAAUAUUGGUCAAUGGACGAAAGUCUGAACCAGCCAAGUAGCGUGAAGGAUGACUGCCUUAUGGGUUGUAAACUUCUUUUAUACAGGAAUAAAACGAGGCACGUGUGCCUUUUUGCAUGUACUUUAUGAAUAAGGAUCGGCUAACUCCGUGCCAGCAGCCGCGGUAAUACGGAGGAUCCGAGCGUUAUCCGGAUUGAUUGGGUUUAAAGGGAGCGUAGAUGGGUUGUUAGGUCAGUUGUGAAAGUUUGCGGCUCAACCGUAAAAUUGCAAUUGAUACUGGCAGUCUUGAAUGCAGAUGAGGUAGGCGGAAUUCGUGGUGUAGCGGUGAAAUGCUUAGAUAUCACGAAGAACCCCGAUUGCGAAGGCAGCUUACUAAACUGUGACUGACGUUGAUGCUCGAAAGUGUGGGUAUCAAACAGGAUUAGAUACCCUUGUAGUC